rnacentral:misc_RNA from 1 species
UUUUAAUUUUCUUUUUUCACUUACAGGGUUCACACAUGGUGAUAUUGUAUCCGUUAUUUUUAACUUCAAUACAAAAUGUUAUCCAUACGAGUUGUUUGAAGUUUGGACAUCAAAUACAGCAAAACGACAGCGGUUAAUGCCAUAUAAACUGAAGAAAUAAAUUGGAGGAUGAUUAUCCACAAAAACUAAAUACAGAAAAGCAGAAAUUAUACGAUAAACCAAGGCCGCAAGUUUAAGAUACAACAAUGGUUGGUGGCCCGUACCAGCUUAUCUUCCUCAGCCGAAACACUGAUCGCCAGGGACUGGCCCUGGAAUGUAACCCUUGUCAAGGAACUGCAAUCCAAACACAACCAAAAUGGCAAGCAAUGACAAGUAUGAUAAUCCUUCUACAGCUCCCAGCAACCCAAAUGGACCAUUGGGCAGACCAGAUCCAGUUUUGGCCUUGCUGUACAGUGACCACCCUAUAAUCCCCACAACUAUCAGGUAGCUCACCCCUUCUAAUGCCCCUAUCGAGCCUCCAGGCCCGGGUGGAAGUCCACAGCCUGUCGUCUUCAGGGUGUAAAGAGACCACCCAAUGACUGGAGUUGCGACUAAUCCACCGGUGAUUGCAGCUAUCUCGACAGCGCUGUUGCCUUCUUCACUGGUCUCCUUUGCCAUGCUUGUGACCUUGAGUCGUCGGCGGAACCUUGUGUUGUUGACACUGAAACGACGAUGUCGUACUGACACUAGAGAGGUCGUUGCUGGUGGUGAUGAUAGUAUCAACAUAUUUGAUAUUUCAGAUGUCUGUGUUGCUACUUUUUUGUUCUGUAGAUGCAAAAUUUGGCUAACCGAAUUUAUAACUUGCAUA